GAGAACUAGGAAGGAAAGAAGCUCUGGAUGAGACGUCCCUGGCACUCAGCCUCCCUCCCUGGCCUGCGGAAUCCAAGCUCAAACACUGGGCCUGGAACUUCGUACAGAGUGUGUCUUCCCAAAGGCCCGAUCCCUACCCACUCCAGUCCCGGGGCCUAGAGACCUGUGCUGUGCUCUGCCGACACACAAAAUCUAUGCAAAAACGGCAGGAUCCUUGGAAGGGAUGGUGAGUUUAAACCACAUAAAACAAGCUUUUCAUCUGAAGAUACUCUGGGUUUUGCUUGCGAAGGGGAGAAGAGUAAGGUUUUGGUUAAAAUGCCUUUAGGGGUCAUUAAGGGCUUUCUGCUUUGGUUUGGAAGAACUAGAGUCAAAAUAAAGCUGGAACCAGAAGGCAGAAAUGGGCAUCUGCUUGUACAGAACUUGCUCAGCGUCCAGAAGAACCCGCGGUCUCCCUGGAGGAGGCAAACUUUACAUGGAGCACAAAACAGCUGGUUUAGCUACAGCCUGUGUUGGAAGUCAGGACUGCGUGUUGGCCGGCGUCUCAGUGCUGUGUGUCUUGGGACACGUUCAGGGCACGUGAGAAGACACCGCAGGACAUACAGCCAGUCCUGUGGAGUAAAUCCUGCUAUUUUCAUAAGAGACCCAGGGUUUAGACAUUUAUACUCUAAUCCGCGGUAGUCCUGUGGUCUGUGGGAGAUUCCGACGGGCUUUACAGAGUCUGUUCGUUUUCUUCUUGGCACUUACCACUACCGGAAGCUGUACUGUUGUGUGUAUGUGCUGUCUUCCCCACUCGAAUGUAAACCCCAGUGCCACCAGGAAGGACUCUGUCUCACCAGCGGCCGGUCCUCAGCACCAACCACACUGGCUACCACGUAGGAGGCAGAAUUACGUGUUACAUGAAUGGGGAACCGAUUCUUUCCAAACCACCGUUUCAAAUUUCCCUUUCAGUCUCAAAGUGGAGUCCGUCAGUGAUGGCCAAAUAAAGUCGCGGCCAGCGCCCCUAUCAGAUGAUCGUCAGUGAAGCUGGACGAAGUCUGCAGGCUCACGCGCCCAGAAGAGAACACUCACCUGUGCCUGGGUUUUGUUAUUGGUUUUGAGAACCAAGAAAGAUCACAGAAUGUGAAAUCACCUAACGCAGGACACACGGUCUAUCCCCACUAAAAGGUGGCUUCCGUGCAUUUAUGGGCAAAUUGCACUUGUCAAGUUACUUUCUCACGUGCAGCUCAGAACUCCCCACAUCUUCUGUAAUGACUGAGGAGGCUGAAGCUAAGAGACUUGAAACGCCUUCGCUGUGAAGGGCCCGCGGGCAGUGGGCCCCAGUGCAGACCCGUACCUCCUGGUCAGUGGUUAGGAGGCUCUGGCUGCAGUCCCCUGAAGGAACAUUAACUGGUGCACAGAGGACACCACCUUAGAACAGACUGGCAAAGCAAGAAGAGGCGGGGAGAUCAACCUGUUUUCCACCAGGGGUGUUCUCUAGCCUGGGGUCCUUGGACUCCUCCCAUGUGGUCCAUGAACUUGGAAUAGGAAAGGAGUAGUUUUAUUGUUACCAGCCUCUAAGGGAACGUGGCCUUCCCUUCUAUUAUAAAUUGAAGCAGCAAUCAUGUGGCAUAAGCCACGGCACUUCGCCACCAAGAGAAAUUGCAGAUGUUUUGGGGCGCCUGGGUGGCUCAGUUCGAGCCCCGCAUCGGGCUCUGCUCUGACACCUUAGAGCCUGGAUGGAGGCUGCUUUGGAUUCUGUGUCUCCCUCUCUCUCUCUGCCCCUUCCCCGCUCAUGCUCUGUCUCUCUCAAAAAUAAACACUUAAAAUUUUUUAAAAAGAAAAAUUGCA